rnacentral:rRNA from 1 species
UACGUAGGGUGCAAGCGUUGUCCGGAAUUAUUGGGCGUAAAGAGCUCGUAGGCGGUUUGUCGCGUCUGCUGUGAAAACGCGAGGCUCAACCUCGCGCCUGCAGUGGGUACGGGCAGACUAGAGUGUGGUAGGGGAGAUUGGAAUUCCUGGUGUAGCGGUGGAAUGCGCAGAUAUCAGGAGGAACACCGGUGGCGAAGGCGGGUCUCUGGGCCGGUACUGACGCUGAGAAGCGAAAGCAUGGGGAGCGAACAGG